GUAGGUGGCAAGCGUUGUCCGGGAAUUAUUGGGGCGUAAAGCGCGCGCAGGCGGUUCUUUAAGUCUGAUGUGAAAGCCCACGGGCUCAACCGUGGAGGGUCAUUGGAAACUGGAGAACUUGAGUACAGAAGAGGAAAGCGGAAUUCCACAUGUAGCGGUGAAAUGCGUAGAGAUGUGGAGGAACACCAGUGGCGAAGGCGGCUUUCUGGUCUGUAACUGACGCUGAGGCGCGAAAGCGUGGGGAGCAAACAGGAUUAGAUACCCUGGUAGUCCACGCCGUAAACGAUGAGUGCUAAGUGUUAGGGGGUUUCCGCCCCUUAGUGCUGCAGCUAACGCAUUAAGCACUCCGCCUGGGGAGUACGGCCGCAAAGGCUG
rnacentral:rRNA from 1 species